ACUGCUCAGUAACACGUGGAUAACCUACCCAAGAGUCCGGGAUAACCCCGGGAAACUGGGGAUAAUACCGGAUAGGUCAGACUUGCUGGAAGGCUGUUUGGCUGAAACUUCCGGGGCUUUUGGAUGGGUCUGCGGCUGAUUAGGUUGUUGCCGGUGUAACGUACCGUCAAGCCUGUAAUCAGUACGGGUUGUGGGAGCAAGAGCCCGGAGAUGGAUUCUGAGACACGAAUCCAGGCCCUACGGGGCGCAGCAGGCGCGAAAACUCUACAAUGCAGGCAACUGCGAUAGGGGAACAUCGAGUGAUCCUCAUAUUGGGGGUCUGUCCACCCGCCUAAAAAGCGGGUGUUAGCAAGGGCCGGGCAAGACCGGUGCCAGCAGCCGCGGUAAUA
rnacentral:rRNA from 1 species